rnacentral:tRNA from 1 species
GGAGUUGUGGCUCAGAGGAAAGAGCCCUCACCUAGCAUGUGAGAGGUACUGGGUUUGAUUCUCAGCACCA